AGGGAGGGAGUUCGGUUGAAGCGGCGGUUCCAUGCGGAAGUGGCGGGUGCAGCGCCCAGGCCGCCCCGGAAUCCCACAUCAGACUAGGAAAGGUGGCCUGGGUGGGGAAGAUUUAGAGAAGGGCGCACUGACACGUCGCCAGCACUUCCGGUGCUCUAGAUCUUGGGACCCAGUCAGCUCCGAAGGGGGCGUUGCUGCCUUUUCCAAUCCCCCCCUCCAUUUUCCCUCAGAAAGCAAGAGCACAGGCUCUAGCAGGGGAAACAGUGGCUUGUCCCCGUGUGGAUCAUAGGAGCCAGUCUCUCCCUGGGAUGCCAUUUGUACAGGUGGCAGGACGCGAGUCCCACGAGGGAAAUCCCAGUGAGGCAAGGCGGCACUGAGGAGGAGAACAAAACUAAAGGUGCCUGGAAGCACACCUGGAAUACCGUGGAGUUCUGUGGUCCACAGACGGACAGCAUCGGAAUCUUCUGAGAUUUGGUUAAGGAUGGAAAAUCAUGGCUCUUACCCCAUGCAUGACAUCAGAAUCAGCGGCAAUUCCAAAUGGGUGACUUAAUGAACCCUCAGGUAGGCUGGUGAGAUGGCUCAAUGGGUGAAGGCUCUUGCUGCCAGACCUAACAACCUGAGUUUGAGGGCCAGGAACCCCAUGGUAGAAAAAGAGCUGACUCCCAAACGCCAUCCUCUGGCCGUGCUGCACGUACCCACAGGCGUGCACACGAAAUAAACAAACACAUGUAAUUAAAAAAAAAA